UAUAUUAUAAUAUGUAUACGUAUAUAUAUUAUUACGAAUCGAUAAUUAAAGUUUAAUAUUAAAACAUAUAUAAUUAAGAAACCUUUUGCUAAAUUAAUUGCACGAAUUUAUAAAAUGCAAGAAGAAGGCAGGAAAUAGAUGGAGAAUGAAAACUAGAUCAUAUAAAUUGCAGCACCCUGGUUUGGUUCCGUUGG